GCGAUGCUCUUCUGUGGAUGCCGUUUUCAGAAGAAUCUUCCCAAAUAUUGUACCUGAUGUAUCACAUUAGACACACCAGAUUGGGUUGCAUCAGCAGUGUUGCAUUACAUCACAUCACCGAGCUUCCCAGUCCCAGCUCAAACACCGAGGAUUUCCUGCCACCAUAAAGCUGUAAUUGCUGAAUUAAUAACAGCAGGUUUUGAAGAGUGACUGCACCACUCUCUGACCCAGAUCAGGGGCCAUCCAUGCCCUCCAGAGGAGCUUCUGUGAUUCCCUCUUGGAGAUGCAGGUCUACCAGCCAAGACAAGGGAUUUAGAAGAUGAUUGGGAUGUCCACCAACUUCACCAUUAACACAGAAGAUGGCACCUGGAUCAUUGCAAUGCUUUGGAAAGCUUUUCUGAAUGCUUUUAUUUUAAGAGGAAAAAAAAAUCCAACUUUUUCUUCCGAAAACGCAGAGAUGCCAGUGAUACCAGGUAUCUGUGGAGGUUUCUGCCCAGUAGUACCUUGGCUGACACCAGAGAGCAAGCAAUAGACAAAGAUUGCUGCUCCAGCUGUUAUUUUGCUUGUUGGGCUGCACGAUGAGAGAAGACAAAAUCAGGGUCUCUUGCCUGUUUUCGGCACAGAGGAGACGUUCCAUGUGUGGAACAGCUCACAGGCUGGCAGGGUCUGUCAGACCUGCCCUUCUAACCCACAGCUCAUGCCACUAUUGAAUUCCUGCUUGGUCCAGAGUGCAAAGUCUUUGUGGUUUCACAGUCAAUACUCAGUUGUUCAUGGUGGCUUUACAAGCAGGAUUUCAGUAGCAACAUUUUGUUGUCUGUGAGGCCCUGAAUCCGUGGUGUCUAUCAAACCAGCUGAAUUCUGCUUAGAAGCAAUUAGUUCUGUGAGCUGCAAAGACAACAGCAUUUCCAGAGCCCGUGUCCUGCAUUUAUCUCUGGAUAAAUGGAGAGCUCAUUUGUCUACUUACCAAGGUGCCUUUUUCACAAAAUUCGUAGGAAUGGUAAUACCUUGACUAUGCACGGUUAUACUUAUUUAGAGAGGCUUUGUGAUCACAUAAAACUUAAGAAAGCAUAAAAGGAAUCAAUUUUCUUGGAUAUUUGUGGUGCUGGCUGUAUCAGAAAGGAGUGGCAGAACUGGAGUGAAGGGAAAAUGCAUGUCCACAGAUCACAGACAGAAAAGCAAGUGUUUUGAAAUACUUUGAUGGUAACAGGAAUGUUGUCUCCUCUCCAGUGUCGGGGCUUUUGAAAGCUCACUAGGCAGCAAAAUGAAAUGUUUUAUGGUUUUGUCAAGCACAGCACAGCCACUGAUAUUAUACUUGCAAUUUCAUGACCUGGUAAACAGAUACUUUUGUGCUUAAGGGUCUAAAUGUCAGUGGUGUAGAAAACUGAUGAUUAUGCUGCUUUGUGAAAUAGGAGCUUCUUCAGGAGAAAUAUAUCACACCUGAAGCAGCAUCACUUGAUAUUUGCCCUUGUAAAGCAUGACCUUGUGACCGGUGCUUUCAGUGAGAUAAAGAGUGAAGGGAACUGGUGGGAUAGCUGAGCUAGAGAUAUGUUUAUCUCCUGCAGCGUGGGCUGUACAGAAUAUGUGUUGCCUUGUUGAAUGCAGCAAUUCAGCACCACAUGCCAGUAUUGGAUUCUUGUCUUGGUCCAGUGUACAAACUUUCUGGGGCUCAAUACAAUUGCAGCCAAAGCCUGCCAUCUUUGUAGAAGAAAGGCUUUCAGGAACAACCCUUUUUGGGCUGUUGGCUCUGAAAUGAUGGUGUCUGUCAAACCAAUUGAUGAGUUUUCUUGAAGGCUGCAUCGAACAAUCUGCAAGUCCUGUAGAUCUGAUGUAGCUAAUUUUAUAUAUUAAUCAGGGAUAGGAAAGUGUGGCUGUGGGAGAAGGGAGCCCCUGGCUGUGAGUUUCCACAGAAAUCCUUUUGCUUUCAGCAGGGAACGGUAGCUUUGUGCUAUUCCCACAGUGUCUUAUCUAAUGUGUUAUUGACGCCAUUGCAUUUGCUUUCAAACACAGUCAU